CCCAAUAAUAUUUUCCAUUGCUUGUUAGACAUGCCCAUUCCUUAUGACCACAACAGACCACGAUCCAGAUAGGAAUAAUAUUUUGCCAUACAGGCGAUGUAAUUAGCAGUCUUGAUGGAGAGGCAAGAACCCGAACAGAACCUGUGCCCAAUGGAGUCCAGUUUUCUCCCUUCUUUUUUACUAGGGCUGAGUGUUUUCUUCAAGAUUUGUUACUCGAGGCAGUUUACUACAAGUGAGUUCGGAGGAGGAUGCUUAAAGAGAAAGGGACAAUCUACCUCUUGAAUCCUAUAAAAACUCUCAAAAUGCUUAGAUGUCAAGACUGAGGAUGACGGUGCAUCCCAGGUGGAUUUGGAGUAAUUGGAAAGAACCAGUAACAUUGGUAAUGCUGCUGGUUGCACAACAGAUCUAGAUGACAUGAAGUCAUAAACCAGAUCCUUGACUUCUGGGGCUGGGAAUUUUCUCCAACCCAAGACUCUUGCAAUUUCAGCCACCUGAACAUGGUACUGUGGACUGAUUCUGUUCCCUUGAAGCAGGAAGGAUCUGGACAUCCAGAGACUUUGAGCAUACCCGUUGCUAAUCCCAUGUGCGGCAGCUCUCACGAGAGUUCGCGAGCAGUGGCGAGCUGGUCUUGUGGUAGCAAGUAUGACUUGUCCCCUUAGCUACGCAGGGUCCCCCUGUUACAUGUGAAUGGGAGACUAGAAGUGUAAGCACUGUAAGAUAUUCCCCUCAGGGGGUGGAGCUGCUCUGGGAAGAGCAGAAGGUUCCAAGUUCCCUCCCUGGCAUCUCCAAGAUAGGGCUGAGAGAGAUUUCUGCCUGCAACCUUGAAGAAGCCGCUGCCAGUCUGUGAAGACAAUACUGAGCUGAGUCAAUGGUCUGACUUAGUAUAUAUGGCAGCUUCCUA